rnacentral:lncRNA from 1 species
UUAAUAUGAGUAUGACCCAGAAAGUAUAUAAGGUUAUUAGUUCAUCAAUCACAUUAAUGUUUCAUUCUAUCAUCUAUAUACCAAGCAUUUAAUAAGGUAUUACAUGAAGAAGGUACUGCUUUAAUUUCCAGACUGUCCUUUAAUUUUACUGCCAUACAGAAGUACAGUGUCUGUUAACAGAAAUAAAAAUUGCAGUGCAGAUCUUUGAAAGGACUUCAUUUGGUUGCCAAAACAAUUUAUCAUGACAGUAUCUGUUUCCUUGCUGGAAAUAGCCCCUUCAAAAAUCUUUGAUCUGUCUCUGAGUUGCAAAGAAAUUUGAAAGCAUUGAAACCAGUUGGCAAUUACAAAUCUAUCAAGUCAAUUGAUUGCAUGUUGGUUGUUUAAUUUUCACUCUGACAGUUUGCAAUGGCAUGUACAUGUAAAAGUAGGCU